rnacentral:rRNA from 1 species
GAUGAACGCUGGCGGCGUGCCUAAUACAUGCAAGUAGAACGCUGAAGGAAGGAGCUUGCUCUUUCCGGAUGAGUUGCGAACGGGUGAGUAACGCGUAGGUAACCUGCCUGGUAGCGGGGGAUAACUAUUGGAAACGAUAGCUAAUACCGCAUAACAGUAGAUGUUGCAUGAUAUCUACUUAAAAGGUGCAAUUGCACCACUACCAGAUGGACCUGCGUUGUAUUAGCUAGUUGGUGAGGUAACGGCUCACCAAGGCGACGAUACAUAGCCGACCUGAGAGGGUGAUCGGCCACACUGGGACUGGGACACGGCCCAGACUCCUACGGGAGGCAGCAGUAGGGAAUCUUCGGCAAUGGACGGAAGUCUGACCGAGCAACGCCGCGUGAGUGAAGAAGGGUUUCGGAUCGUAAAGCUCUGUUGUAAGAGAAGAACGAGUGUGAGAGUGGAAAGUUCACACUGUGACGGUAUCUUACCAGAAAGGGACGGCUAACUACGUG